rnacentral:rRNA from 1 species
GAUGAACGCUAGCGGCAGGCUUAACACAUGCCAGUCGAGGGGCAGCGCGGGAUAGCAAUAUCCUGGCGGCGACCGGCGGAAGGGUGCGUAACGCGUCAGCGACAUGCCCGUUGCCCGGGGACAACCGGUGGAAACGCCGACUAAUCCCCGAUGGGAUACGAUGCUUCAUGGCAUUGUAUUGAAAGUUACGGCGGCGACGGAUUGGCUCGCGUCCGAUUAGCUGGUUGGCGGGGUAACGGCCCACCAAGGCUGCGAUCGGUAGGGGUUCUGAGAGGAAGGCCCCCCACAAUGGGACUGAGACACGGCCCAUACUCCUACGGGAGGCAGCAGUGAGGAAUAUUGGUCAAUGGGCGGAAGCCUGAACCAGCCAUGCCGCGUGCGGGAAGGAGGCCCUAUGGGCUGUGAACCGCUUUUGCCUGGGGGCAAUAAGGGCGUCGCGCACGUCCGAUGAGAGUACCAGGCGAAUAAGCAUCGGCUAACUCCGUG